GCCCUGGGGCCGGGAGGGAGCGGGACAGCGGAGGGUGCCCGCCGGGACCGCUCCGGGAACGAAGUUGCCAGCUGCACUUAGUUUUGUGUACGCAUCCCAGCCGCCGCCGCCGCCGCCGCCGGGGGUGUAAGGAAGAGGCGGAGCUCAGCUGCAGAGCGGCAGGGGGUAUGCCCGGCGGGCUGAGCGCUCCCGGCACCGGCCCCCGCCGCGGGGAGCACCGCGGUAAACGGUGCCCGGGCGCUCCGUAACUACGGGAAGGGAGUCACUGCUGUACGUGCUGACCAGAGAGCAGUGCUCAGGAGAAAAGAUGGAGCAGAGGCUGGGGAAGAGAACCCAAGUCCAGAGGAACCUCUUUGGCACCACAGACCGUGAGCAGCUGCAGCAGGACUUUGAGUGCAUGUUGCACAGCAGCGUUGAGCAGGCCCAGCAGAAGUGGAACUUUGAUUUCCUCCAGGAUGUGCCAGUGGAGGGGCUCCUGAAAUGGGAAGAGCUUCAAGGCCAUGAGGUGCCUGCCUUCUACCACAGCCACAUGGUAGGAGAUUCUUGGAGACCAUUGCAGCACAUGAACUGCCAUCUGUGCAGGGAGAUCACAGGUCACCACUUUGCCCAGGUGACACUGACCAAGAAAUCCAGCACUGCCAGGAAAACAGGAAGCAGGAGAAUCUUGUAAGGGAAGAAAGGAAGACAGACAUCUUCGACAGAUUGCUGCUCUGCAAAGAAGCCAGGCAAAACGAAUAUGCAAGCUGCUGCUGCUGCAAAGACGGUCAACUUCUUGACAGCAAAGAGUCAGGGUUCAGGCCAGAUCAGCUGGAAUCACUUUGAUCACAAAUUACUGGCCUCAGAAACCACUGCUUUAACAUGAAUUAAAAAAUCCCAGCAGACUGGAUGUGAGAGUUGCAAACGGUUCAAGGUAACUGUGUGUCAUGACAGGCUUGGAGAGGUCACUGUGGAGCUGAGGCCUUUCACGCCGUCACUUCUUUACAUCCCCUCUUGUUUUGGUUGUAGCAGGGAGAGCUUGCUAAGUUCCACCACCUCAACCUUAACAGUGUGUGUCAAACUGACACAUUAAAACAGAAUAAUUCCUA